CCUACGGGAGACAGCAGUGGGGAAUAUUGCACAAUGGGGGAAACCCUGAUGCAGCGACGCCGCGUGAGUGAAGAAGUAUUUCGGUACGUAAAGCUCUAUCAGCAGGGAAGAAAAUGAAGGUAACUGACUAAGAAGCACCGGCUAACUACGUGCCAGCAGCCGCGGUAAUAUGGAGGGGGCAAGCGUUAUCCGGAUUUAUUGGGUGUAAAGGGAGCGUAGGCGGCAGGGCAAGCGUGGAGUGAAAUCUCAGGGCUUAACCCGGGACCUGCAGUGGGAACUGGGGUGCUUGAGUGCGCGGAAGGCAGGCGGAAUUCGUCGUGUAGCGGUGAAAUGCUUAGAUAUGACGAAGAACACCGAUGGCGAAGGCAGCUUGCUGCAGCGGAACUGACGCUGAUGCUCGAAAGCGUGGGUAGCGAACAGGAUUAGAUACCCCUGUAGUC
rnacentral:rRNA from 1 species